rnacentral:rRNA from 2 species
UACGAAGGGGGCUAGCGUUGCUCGGAAUGACUGGGCGUAAAGGGCGCGUAGGCGGUUUGAUUAGUUAGGCGUGAAAUUCCCGGGCUCAACCUGGGAACUGCGUUUAAUACAGUCAGACUUGAGUUCGGAAGAGGGUCGUGGAAUUCCCAGUGUAGAGGUGAAAUUCGUAGAUAUUGGGAAGAACACCGGUGGCGAAGGCGGCGACCUGGUCCGAUACUGACGCUGAGGCGCGAAAGCGUGGGGAGCAAACAGG